rnacentral:lncRNA from 1 species
ACUUCAAGCAGGUAUUUCCUUUCAUUUUUCUCUUUCAAGAAGAAACCUUGUUGGAAACAUGGGACUGAUGACAGGCUCUUGAGAGGAAGAGCAAUUACACUAAGGAAACCUGGCAGUGAAGAGAAUUACUCAUUCUUUUCCUGGGGAAGAGAUUUACAGGUAUGUCUGCCUCAUUUUUACUACCCAGGUAUCCAUCUUGUUAACCCUGAUGGAUUUACCCUUUGUGCUUAUAGCCUUUUUAAAAGUCAUAAAGAGAUUCAUAAAGAGUUUCUGGCUUAUGUGAUACAGUUCUUAACCCAUGGGGAAAGACAGAAAUGUUUCUACGUUUUCCAGACGCUAUUUUAUCUCCUACAGGCUUCCUUCCAGAGGAGGGUGACGAAGAUGGUGAAGGGCCUAGAGGGGAAGACAUAUGAGGAGCGGCUGAGGUCACUGGGCCUGUUCAGCCUGGAGAAGAGGAGGCUGAGGGGAGGUCUCAUCGCAGUCUACAACUUCCUCGCGAGGGGGAGUGGAGGGGCAGGGGACCUAUUCUCCGUAAACACCAGUGACAGGACCCGCGGGAAUGGUGUUAAGCUGAGGCAGGGGAAGUUUAGGCUGGACAUCAGGAAGAGGUUCUUCACUGAGAGGUUGGUUGCACACUGGAACAGGCUCCCCAGUGAAGUAGUCACUGCACCAAGCCUGUCUGAAUUUAAGAAGUGAUUGGACUGUGCACUUAGUCACAUGGUCUAAACUUUUGGGUAGACCUGUGCAGUGCCAGGAGUUGGACUCGAUGAUCCUUAUGGGUCCCUUCCAAUUCAGGAUNNNNNNNNNNNNNNNNNNNNACUCGAUGAUCCUUAUGGGUCCCUUCCAACUCGGGAUAUUCUAUGAUUCUAUGAUUCUUGUCACUAUGCUUCUGUGAUAAAUCUCAGGACAAUAUAACUCUACUGUUUACCUGCUUAGACAGUGACACCCGCUAGACAAAUGAUGUACAGCACCUGAAAAUAUAUAAAAAAAAAAAAAAGAUAAAAGAAACAAGAAACAACUUAAAAAGAGGUACAAGUGUUAUUUUGGGUAAAAUCUAUUUUCAUUUAAAAUGUUUUAUCGGCUUCCAGAAUGCAGAGUAAAAAUAAUUUUCUCCAGUCAGACUUUUUAUUACUUCUCUGUUACACCUGAACAUUACUUAGAAGCUCAAAAAAAUAAAAUCACCAGAAACUCUUAUGCA